rnacentral:lncRNA from 1 species
UUGCUUCGCUUCGCACUUGGAUGCUGUAUCACUAGAUAGGAUGUAUCUUUCUUUCAUCGUUCGCGCAGAAGUCCGUACAGGCUGAAGAGGGACUCUCUCUUUUAACGUAAGCUCUGACUCAACGUUGGAUACCUCCUUUUCAAGUAGUUCUUUCAGAAUCUGUUGAUACGAGAUUGAGAUUCAACCAAUAAGAGAUAGAUUAAUAAAGUGCAGUCUAUGUGACACAAUAAAACGAUGGGAGAAGGGGGAUCUUUUUUCUUAGUGUUUCUUGGGAUCACUGAAGGAAGAUAGAGCGGAGAGAGCUGAGCUCGGGUAGAGGCAGAAAUUUUGGGACUCACUCAUCUGGAUUUUUAAUGUGACUGUAUAAACAAAUCCCAUUGGUGUGGGUGUCUAUGAGGCAUCUAUUGUGUUCGCUUUCGUUUCUUAUUGUUUGUUAUUCAUUGUUUUUAGGAAAAUAUGUUUGAAGGGCUUGUUCGCCAGCUAUUGUUGGGAUAUUUGGGCCGUUAUGUAAAAGAUAUCCACAAAGACCAACUGAAAAUCACAGUUUGGAAUGGUAAGUUUAUGUGUUCCUAUGCUUCUAUAACUUGUUUCUAUCUGGGUUUUUAAUGGACCGUAGUUAUGAAUUUAAAAUUAUUUUUCGACAGAUGAAGAUAUUAUUAAGAGAUUGAAAAUUGUUGGAGAAUGAAAUUGUUUCCAACAUAGGCUUUAGGAGAAUAAAUGAUUACAGAAUUACCUUCAGUGAAAAAGAUGAUUUCUUUGGAUCAGUUUAGCAUUUUUUUGGCUAUAGUCUUAAUAUCAUGUUGGUCCUCUCGUGUUGCCUGCCUUCUCUGUUGUGGAGACCAGUAUAGUGGCAUUAGUGGGAAGAAGGGAACCUUAAAUUUUGUUGCUCCAUCGAGUAGGUGCAAUGUUGAAACGUGUUAACAUUCUUUGUCUUCUUUUUCCUUUUGUUGCUUUUAUUUAAUCUCUCUGCAUUGCAUGGGUGUUUUCACAACAGGGGAGCAUGAUUAUUCCCAUUGUUGCGAGGAAAAUUCUCCUAAUUUCGCCGCAAGAUGUUCUCCGUUAAAUUUCUGAACGUUUUGGUAUUCUCGGACUGGUCGCAAGAAGUACACACUGCCCCCUUCCGUUAUAUGUGCCUGACUUGCACACACUUUGGUGACAACAUUAGGCUUUGGU